CCCCCGGCGGCGGCCCCCGCCCUAGCGCCCGGUACUUGCCUGCAGGCGAGCGCCACCACAGUCAGCCCGCGGCUUUUCUGUCUUCCUUUCUGGCCCAGCGAGAGCGCCCAGGGGGUGGGCGUCUUGCCCCGGGCGUCGAGAGUUUGGGGCCGUCCCGUACGCGGCGCGCCGCAACCCAGUCCCCGCGACCACAGCAGCCUGCUCCCCACCGCGCUUGCAGAGCCCGGACGCGCGUGAGUCGGGGGCCCGCAGAGGCCUCACCCUUGGAGGUCGCCGCUUGUCAGGCCUGACUGCUGUUGGCGCCCACCCCGCCGCCCCCGAGGGGCCGCUCGAGGCCGGACUGCUGCUUUGCCGUGGCAGGCCCCACCCGGGACGUGGCGCUGCGGGCCGGGGCGGUCCAGCUGGCAAUCCCUACUCCCUGCCAAAGGAGAACCCAGUUACUGAACAUCGGAUGAGACCAUGGAUAGUAAAUUGGGAGUGAAGGUCCAUACCUGGGUCUCAGAAGCACAGUACAGGUAAAGCUAAGAGUUAUUUCCUCCUUCUCUUUCCCCAUCCAACAACAGGAUUUUUAGAACAAGCCACCUUAUACAAGUUAAAAUUCAUGAAGGAAUGGAUACAGGUUAAGGUACACCAGCCUCCUGAGUAUGACAGCAACAUUCCUUCAGGGAUUAAAGAAAAUGCUUCAGAAGAUUGGAACACUGCUCAGCCUUCCCAACCUUCUUUUACCACUGAUGUUUCUACCUUAGUGAUCUUCCUCCUUAUUUUAAUGCUUCUUUCUCUUUACAAUUAAAAGUUCAUAAAAUCUUUCAACAUUAUUUUUCACUACAAAAGUCUGAAGUUCUCUGUGAAAUGCCUACAUGUAAGAAUUAAGAUAGAUUUUAAAGACUGUCAGUCUCAAAAUUCCAUGCUCAUCAGUUAGUGCAUGAUAUUAAAUUAUGCUUUUUUCCUCCUUUUAAAUAUACCAACAUUAUAUUGCUGAUUUUUUUAUUUACCUGGGUAAGAGCACUGACUCGGUUCUCACUAGGAAACAAAGGUGGGUCUUCUCCAACUUGAAAAUCAAAAUAUACAGUUUUAUGUGUGAAAGUAGAAAAUUCAUUGCUGAAGCAAAAUUUGUAUGUCCCAUUUUUGGAGGCUGUGAAGGUAAAACUAUCAUACUGUUUCUUCAUCUCUUUGUAUAACACUUUACCAUCAGGAUCUUCUAAUCGACAAUCUACAUCA
rnacentral:lncRNA from 1 species